AAGAAGAUCCGCCAUUGUUAGUUCGUAGGGUAGACAUUGACAGUUUUUGAACAUUUGUGGAGCAGAGGUGCACCAUGGCUUGCCACAAUGUCACAAUGGGUUCUUGGAGAGCCGCUGCUGUUGACUUGCUGCAUGUCUCCUCUCUGCGGCAAAACUCCACAAAUACUCCACUCACCAAGUUCCAGAGGGAGAGGAUCACCAGCCACCACCGGCCGUACUAAAGGAAGUGGCUCUAUGUAGGGAUGGAACACAUAGCAACUACACCAGCUGGGACACACCUAGCCAACUGAAAGUCAAGCCAAUAGUCCCUGAAUGUUGCCAAGGAGACACACUGCACCACCAAGCCAAGCCAAGGCAAGCUACAAUGCAACACAAGCCUUUUACAACACCUACAGCCAUCAGCAAAACCCAGAGUACAAGACAACACCUGGAGUCAUGAAGAACAGUUAUGAUGGAUUAGCAGUUUGGAAUGUUUUUUUUCAAGGACAUUUUAAGACAAGUUUGGCAUCUUUUUCAGGGCAUUCUAAGAGAGUUUGGCAUGUUUUAUGGUAUUUUAAGACCAUUUGGCAUGUUUUAGGGUGAAGAUAUUGGCCAUUAAUCUUCUGAUGUCUAUAAACCUUUUCUAAUGUCAAUAAAAUGGUUUAAUGGU